UCCCAGACUCCUACGGGAGGCAGCAGUAGGGAAUCUUCGGCAAUGGGGGCAACCCUGACCGAGCAACGCCGCGUGAGUGAAGAAGGUUUUCGGAUCGUAAAACUCUGUUGUUAGAGAAGAACGUUAAGUAGAGUGGAAAGUUACUUAAGUGACGGUAUCUAACCAGAAAGGGACGGCUAACUACGUGCCAGCAGCCGCGGUAAUACGUAGGUCCCGAGCGUUGUCCGGAUUUAUUGGGCGUAAAGCGAGCGCAGGUGGUUCCUUAAGUCUGAUGUAAAAGGCAGUGGCUCAACCAUUGUGUGCAUUGGAAACUGGGGAACUUGAGUGCAGGAGAGGGGAGUGGAAUUCCAUGUGUAGCGGCGAAAUGCGUAGAUAUAUGGAGGAACACCGGAGGCGAAAGCGGCUCUCUGGCCUGUAACUGACACUGAGGCUCGAAAGCGUGGGGAGCAAACAGGAUUAGAUACCCUAGUAAC
rnacentral:rRNA from 1 species